rnacentral:rRNA from 1 species
UACGUAGGGAGCAAGCGUUGUCCGGAAUCAUUGGGCGUAAAGCGCGCGUAGGCGGCCCUGUAAGUCCGUUGUGAAAGUCAAAGGCUCAACCUUUGAAAGCCGAUGGAUACUGCAGGGCUAGAGUCCGGAAGAGGCGAGUGGAAUUCCUGGUGUAGCGGUGAAAUGCGCAGAUAUCAGGAAGAACACCAAUGGCGAAGGCAGCUCUCUGGGACGGUACUGACGCUGAGACGCGAAAGCGUGGGGAGCGAACAGG